rnacentral:siRNA from 1 species
AGGGUCAUGGUCGAGAUGGCUA